ACAUGAGCAUCAGAACCGU
rnacentral:snRNA from 1 species